CACGCUCCCACCGGUGAGUGCAUGUAGUCAUCUGGGCACCUACCGUGUGCUCCUUGGAUCCCAGGAUGAGCAGUGAAGAAAGGAUGGCGGGGGAUGAAAGAGAUCCCCUCCCACCCUCAUCCCACUCUCAAGGCUCUAGCUGGAAGGCAGAGGCAACACUGCAGAUGAAGUUCUGAAAGUGAGAUGGUGGGCAGGUAAAGGAGCUGCCAGCCCCAUGGUGCCAUGGCUGUGGGGUUUUAAGCAGCACCCACCGAGUCAGCCAGAAACCUCUGAUUCCACCUAGAAAAAUAAGGGAAGAGUUACACCAGGAAGCAAGAUAAUGAAACUCAUCUUGAAGCUUAAACGUGGACGGAGUGGUUCCUCAGUGCCAGACAGCUCCCCGCAAGCACAUAGGAGUUUAAUAGCUGUUUAUUCUUCCAUAUAGACUAAAACUACAUUCAUCAGAAAAAGGGGAGUAAUUCAUUUCCUAUCCCAAUUAUGGAUAUAGCAGACUGAAGAAUAUUUUCAAAGAAAUACAGUUUAUUAUGAUCACAAACUUGACCUAGAGUAAACUAAGAUGUAAAUGGAUAUUUACACUGGAUAGUAAUUGUUUUCAAGUUAUAAAAAUACUUAAGUUUACAAUGGACAUUUACUACAAAACAACCUAAUGCCACAGUGCCAAGUUGUUCUGUUUUUAUUGGGUCUUUUACUCCUAUGAUCCUAUUUCUAAAUGUUUAUAUGUUCUAAUUUGUGAUAUGUCUGAAUUCACUGAAUGGGAUGACAUAUGAGGAACAUCUAGUGCCAUGUCUGGUCCCUAUUAAGCGCUCAAUAAACAUCAGCUAUACUAUUAUUAA
ensembl:lncRNA novel transcript